rnacentral:rRNA from 1 species
CCUACGGGAGGCAGCAGUGAGGAAUAUUGGUCAAUGGACGAGAGUCUGAACCAGCCAAGUAGCGUGAAGGAUGACUGCCCUAUGGGUUGUAAACUUCUUUUAUAUGGGAAUAAAAUGUUCCACGUGUGGGAUUUUGUAUGUACCAUAUGAAUAAGGAUCGGCUAACUCCGUGCCAGCAGCCGCGGUAAUACGGAGGAUCCGAGCGUUAUCCGGAUUUAUUGGGUUUAAAGGGAGCGUAGGUGGAUUGUUAAGUCAGUUGUGAAAGUUUGCGGCUCAACCGUAAAAUUGCAGUUGAAACUGGCAGUCUUGAGGACAGUAGAGGUGAGCGGAAUUCGUGGUGUAGCGGUGAAAUGCUUAGAUAUCACGAAGAACUCCGAUUGCGAAGGCAGUUCACUGGACUGCAACUGACACUGAGGCUCGAAAGUGUGGGUAUCAAACAGGAUUAGAUACCCUAGUAGUC